CCUACGGGAGGCAGCAGUGGGGAAUUUUGGACAAUGGGCGCAAGCCUGAUCCAGCAAUGCCGCGUGAGUGAAGAAGGCCUUCGGGUUGUAAAGCUCUUUUGUCAGGGAAGAAACGGUGGGAGCUAAUAUCUCCCGCUAAUGACGGUACCUGAAGAAUAAGCACCGGCUAACUACGUGCCAGCAGCCGCGGUAAUACGUAGGGUGCAAGCGUUAAUCGGAAUUACUGGGCGUAAAGCGUGCGCAGGCGGUUUUGUAAGUCUGUCGUGAAAGCCCCGGGCUCAACCUGGGAAUUGCGAUGGAGACUGCAAGGCUUGAAUCUGGCAGAGGGGGGUAGAAUUCCACGUGUAGCAGUGAAAUGCGUAGAGAUGUGGAGGAACACCGAUGGCGAAGGCAGCCCCCUGGGUCAAGAUUGACGCUCAUGCACGAAAGCGUGGGGAGCAAACAGGAUUAGAUACCCUGGUAGUCCACGCCCUUAAACGAUGUCUACUAGUUGUCGGGUUUUAAUUAACUUGGUAACGCAGCUAACGCGUGAAGUAGACCGCCUGGGGGUACGUCGCAAGNUUAAAACCNAANAGAUGAGNGNGAGAGNGCGAGAGACGAGAGGAG
rnacentral:rRNA from 1 species